GUCAAAAGGUCAGUGACAGCCAAGGAUUUGGAAGCGGGGAAUGAAGGAUGAAAAAAAUUUGUUAAAAAAAGAAGACAGGCUACAAUACAAAGUUAGUGGGGAAGAAAAUUCUAGUUGUUGGCAAUCAUAGGAACCAAGGCACAAUAUGUGAAAAGGCAAAGCCUACUUCUGCCAGGACAGCAGUGAAAAAGAAGCUAACAACCCCAACCAGAAAUGGUCCCGAUGAUCCUUCCAGGAUGGGAUGUCCUGGCCAGGGACACAGCAUGACAUCGCCAGCAGGAAGUAGGUAGGAAUUGAGUGGCGAAUAUGCUAGUGUGGAUUAUUGCCAUAAUUGCUUUCUGGAAAACAACAAAUUUUAUUCCCAGUAAAAUGCCAUAAGAAUUUGCCAGGUCCUCUGAUGGGGAAAAUAAAAUGCCCUUCCUAGAAAUUUCA
rnacentral:lncRNA from 1 species